GGCUGCGCGCUAGUAGCCUAGCUGUCCCAGCUACCGGCUCUGCGGUGUGUUUAAGUCAACGUCCGCGCUGUUCCGGAGUGGACUGCGUUUCUCAUAGACCCUGGGGGAGUUUGUGAACCUCAUCCUCUGGUUCAUUUUCCUUUAUGCUUUCGGUCACCGUUUUCCUUGUGAUUUGGAGUCCAGAUGUGAGACAAAGACGUUUUUAGGGGGAAAAAAAGGCUCUCAAUGCAAGGUAAUGGAAGGAAAAUCUUGACUUGGAGGAUUCCCAAUUCCAGAAAUAACUGGCAAAAUAAAAGCACGAUUUAGGCAAGGGUCUCAAGACUGAGAUCUUAGCUAAAUGGAAAUAAUGGCUGGAAAUGGAACCAAGUAUAAAAAAGCGAAUCCAAUAACAUGGAUGUCUGAUUUUUAUCUACCCCACUGCCCCCACCUCCCAUUUCAUUAAAAAUAAAACAACAGAAAACAGCUUUUUAUCUCUGUUCAGAUCAGAUCAUUUCUAUUGCUCCACCUUCAAGUUUGCUGGAUUCUCUCCUCUAUAAUCUCCAUUUGGCUAUUGAGCCCAUUUGCAUUUUUACCCUGAUAUGUUGGUGGAUUCCUUUGUGUUUCUACUACUUUGAAUUUGUCGAACUUCGUGGACACAUAAAUUAUGAUGACUAUUAAAUGAACAUUUGUUUACUGGAGCACAGACUGCUGGAUGGGGAGUCAUGGUUCAACAACAGAACACAGGAGAAAUUGAAAUAGAGAAGUGCAUUACAUGUCUUGGAGGAAGUACACAAGAGGCCAGAUGGGAAGGUCAAGGCAGAGUGCAGACAGAGAAAGUACAACAUGGGGCACAUGGCUUUAUUACAGUGGAGUGCUUUAUGGUUCCUGGGCUGGGGCUGGAUUGGUCGAUACAAACCAAAAGAAUAGUAUUUUAGUAAGACUCCCACAGGAGUCUUAUCUAAGGGGCACAUACAGAUGCUGGUAGCCUGAGGAGACUUGAUCAGAAGGCUGUUGGGAAAUCAUAUCAGGAACUUUCAUUUGCUGUGACUCUGCAGGCUGCUACCUAGGGUAUGUGCUUAUAUGAGGGGGUUAGUGUCAGUUGAAGAUUUUGGCAAGACACUUAACCAAACGAAAUGUAUGCCAAAGCAGCAAUAUUAGUUUAGCUAAUGAUAAUAGUAAAUAAUAGCUAAUAAUAAUAGCUUAGCUAAACUCUCAUUAUUAUUGUAAAUAAAUUUGGGAAGUUUUGAAGUUUUUUUAAUGCUUUUUUUUCGAAACCUCUCUGUUCAUUCUGGUAUUCCCGUUAUGCAUAUAAUGGUGCACUUCACUAGUGCUCCACAUUUCUCUGUUCAUUUUUCCUUAUUAUUUUUUCUGUGCUUAAACCUGUAUACUCACUAAUGACCUAUCUUCAGGUUUGCUAAUUCUUUCUUCUGCUAAUUCAAAUCUUUUGAACCCUUCUAAUGAAAUUUUCAAUUCUGGGAUUUCCAUUUUCUAUCUUUGCGGUACUUGGCUGGCUUAGUUGGUACAGCAUGUGACUCUUGAUCUCAAGGUUGUGAAUUCACACCCCACAUUGGGAUGGAGCCUACUCAAAAUUUUUUUUCUAUCUUUAUUGCCACACCUUACUUGAUGUAGCAUUGCCACUAUUUCUUUAAUCAUGAUUCCCUUUUGUUCUUUGAAUAUAUUUAUAAUGGCUUCUUUGAAGUCUUUGUCUAUUAAAUCUGACAUCUGGUUGCUCUAUUAGGCAGUCUCUUUUUCUUUUUGCCAAAGCAGGAGUCAUAUUCUGUAGUUUCUUUGCAUGUCUUAUAAAUUUUCUGUUGGCAAAUAAGACAUUUUAGAUAAUAUAUUGUUAUUUCUGCAUUCAUCUGCUUAGGAAAAUGUCAGAGGAGAAGGAUAUCGUCAAGAAAAGAUAGAAGUAGGGCUUGAGAUAUUCCAUGGCUACAAAGACCAGUUAGGGGUGUAAAUGGACCAAAAAAGAAAAAAAAAUUAAAGAUGUUUUUUAAAAGUAAAAAGGAUAUAAGGUUUGAUUCUGGGAAACUACUGUUUGGCUUCAUGGUUUAAAACUUGUUCAAAAGUACAACAUUCAUUUGGGCUUUAUGAUAGAAUAUCUGGUGUAUAUUGCAUCACUUUCUUUCCUGCCUCAAUGUGGAAAUUAAAGAGGGAGGAAUAGGCAAACCGGGAAUAUAGAAGGGCUGACCUAUUGCAGCUGUAGGUACUGUCACUCCUAGUUGGUGGGAAAAAGAGAGCAAGAGAAGGGGAAAUAGUUUUGAAUGUUUGGUCUCAUGAAUACUUUGCAACCUCUCAUUAUUUUACUGUAUUUUAGGGUUUUUUCAUAUAAAAUUUGUAUACACUGUAUACAUAGGUAUGAAAAAUAUCAACUGACCUUAUUAGUUAAGUACCCCUUAAUAUGCUCCAGCACUAAGCAAACAAUUCAUUUUGUCUACAUAUUUACCUUUCCUGGAUAUCUCCUGUAAAAGGAAUUAUACAACAUGCGGUACUUUGUGACUAGUUUCUUUUAUUUACCCUAAAGUUUUGAAGAUUCAAGUUA